UGAGCAAUCUGCCCUUCUCAUCGGAAUAAGCGUUGGAAACGACGUCUAAUGCCGAAUACGACCUCCUUUCGCAUGAUCGGAGGUGGAAAGCUCCGGCGGAGAAGGAUGAGCUCGCGGCCUAUCAGCUAGUUGGUGUGGGUAAUGGCCCACAAGGCGACGACGGGUAGCCGGCCUGGAGGGGGUGACCGGCCACACUGGGACUGAGACACGGCCCAGACUCCUACGGGAGNAG
rnacentral:rRNA from 1 species